UCAGGUUAAACGGGCCUUAAAUGGGCUUUAAACAUGUUAGUCUUUAGUAAAUGGGCUCUAAACAAGCUUUAAGCAGCUGAGUCGGGCUAUUAAUCUGUUGGGACCCGUCGGAUAGCAACCUUGCACUAGAUUAAUUGGACGUAGUCAGUUCAGGCUUUUACGAUGUGGUCUGUUGGGCGGGCCUAGAAUUGACACCCCUAGGUAAGGGAGUCAAUUUGUUAUGAAAUCGAAUGUCGAAACUAAAAUCGAGCCAAAUUAACCGAAUUGAUUCAAAUCAAUUCAGUUCAAAUUCGAUUUGAAUAUAUGAGUAUUCACCUCGGUUUGGUUUGAUUAUGGUUUUAGGUAUAAGAACCAUUGGUUCAAAUCAAAACCGAACCAAAUUACCAUUGGUUUGAAUAUUUGACUAUUCACCUCUUUUUUUUUUUUUAAUCGUACCUUUUUUGCAAUUUAACAUCACAUAUUCACAUGCUAAGACAAUUUUGAAGUUAACAAUGGUCACAUAAGGCCCAUAACUUGAGCCCAUUAUAGUCUUUGGUCCAUCACAAUCAUAGUCCAAGAGUGGAAUCUUUUACAUAACCGAAUUAAAACCAGUUACAAAACUGAUUAAAACCAUAUGACAAAACUGAAUUGAAACUGAAACUGAAACCGAGUCAAACCAAAUUAAAUCAGCUUGAGUAUCUAAAUAUAAAACCGAGUUUGAUCUCGAUUCAGUUUCGAUGUACCUCAUCAUCCCUCUGAAACGAAUUAAUCCAAAUAAAAAAAAUUGAAACCAAGCCGAUUAACACCCUUACCUCUAGGUAAUAUAAAACUAUAAAAUCUAGGGACUACAAGAAUUUACGUAGACUUACAUUGUUGACUGAAAUAUACAAAGAUGUAAGAACACAUAUGGUAGGGUAUUCGGCUAAAUUUGAGUUUGAAAUAAAAGGUGAUCUUUGCAUAAGCACCCUUGUUUCUGCCAUGAGGUGGAUUGCACAUAUGACCACUGUAUGAUAGAUAGGACACAACAACUUAUUUAUGAGAAAGAGUUGACGACAUCCAUGUUUGACUCACAGUUGCCCAAGUCUAUGAUGAAAGAGAUAUUUUCAAGCCUCACGCGGGGGAUUCAAACAAGGAUCACAUUACCAUUGAAGCUAGCCGCUGGUUGCAUGGAGUAGUUUGGAGUGCACUAAAUCUACUGGUCCCAGGAAUCAAAAGCAUCCACAGUAAGAAGAAAAUUCAUGCUCAAGCCUAGAAAGUAUUAAAAUGUAUUUGUUAUCAAAUUGCAACUUGGUAUGAAUCAAAACUUCAAGCAGAUGGAGUGUAUGAUAGCCUUUAUUUUGCCACCAAGUUUGGGAUUGUUGAGAUCGUGAAUGAACUUAUAAACAUAAAUCCCAACUUAUUAUUCAUUAUUGAUAAGCAACAUAUAAAUAUACCCUCACUUGCAAUUCAGUUUUGGCAAGAAAAAAUCUUCAAUUUCAUCUUGAGAAGAAGCGGCCAGAUAACAUGGUUUAUACCUUUAGUGGAGAAUUACCAGAACACCUUGUUACAUCUAGUUGGAAGAUCUCCUCCUUUCUCUCAUGAACAGGGUAAGAUGCUAGGUGCUCCUGUUGUGCAAAUGCAACGGGAGCUGCAAUGGUUUAAGGUAAUUAAAUUAAUUAAUUUCACCUUAAUUUUAUAUUAGUGUACAAUAUCUUGUAUUCCGUCGCAAUUUAAUCAAGAGUUUUUUGUUAUAUAUUUGUAGCGAGAAUUAUUUUUUUUGUAAGCAAUUCUGAGAUGUGUAUGGACGAGCACUGUAACUCU